GCACCCCCAUGACACACGCGCACACACAAAAGCAGCUUGGUUCAUCGCUUUGCAGUUCCACACCUCCCUACAGGGUAAGAUAUUUGGGUUGGUUGCAUUGUCACAAGGAAAGGCAGCGGGGGAUGACUUUGACCUGCUGAGCCCUGAGAUGGCAAAUUGGUUGUCGGGAUGUGGAACCCCACCUCGUUGUUGGCGACAGAAGCUGUGCAAGAUGGAGCAGCAGCAGCAGCGUGAUUGAACUGGACGCACCUCUAUGCGCAUCAAUGACUAAAAUUCCUAGGAGCGAGUGACUUUGUAGGGUAAAAGGCAAUGGGUUGGCCGGGGAGCACACGUAUGAUGAGUUACCACCUUGAAAUGAAAUGUUAUUCAAGGGACUUUCUGACCGUGUAACAGCCCCAGACAAUAUUCAAGAGCCAUGCGAAGUUAUUCAAAUACGGAUUCAAAGGAAAUCGAAAUGCACCACCAUGCUUCCACACCUAAGACUCCUGCAAACUACAGUGAGAGCCAAUAUCCACAAAUGGAGAAAAUGUGGAACGGCGGUGAAGCUUCUUAGCAGUGGCCGGCCAACAGAGAUGAAUCCAAAAGAACAGCAAUGACUCAUCCAGGAGGCCACAAAGGAACUCAGCACAAGUUCUAAAGAGCUGCAGGCGUCCCUUACUUCCAUUAAGGGCACACUUAAAGGUACUCUCGCUUCUGAGUCAGGAUGGAAAUGGGUGGAGGGUGGAGGCAGAAUUGAGAGGAUGUCCUGAGCAAAGGAUGCCGUGUUGCUGUGUGGAAGCCAAGACAGUUUCUGCAAUGUUCCUGUCACCAGUCGAUCACAGAUCACAUAAAGACAGAGCGUUACAGUCACGCUGCCUGCACUUGCACCACACCAGUGGUUUUCAAAGUGGGGGGGGGUGUGCAGGGCUACCAUCAACUACCAUGACCGCUUUUCAUUGUUAAGUUACACUUAGCUUUUGUUGAUUCCCAGCGAAUAAUGUUUGCAAGUGGGGGGGUGGGGUAAUUUCAUCUCUAAAAAGGGGGUACUGCAAAAAAUGUUUGAGAACCACUGCACUACAUGAUCGACGCAGUUAUUUCAUCGCAUCUUAGUUGUCCCUUGGAUAAGUCAUUGUUACCUUGACUGUUGUGAUUCCUUUACGUGGAUUGUGUGUGUGUGGGGGGGGGGGGGGGGAUAUAAUGUUGUAUGCAUUUUCUGUUUGGUUAACUAUAAGAUUAGUAAAAGCCUCAAUUCUUUCAGUUUUGGCUGAUCAAUUAUACUUCUUGUUAUAGUAAUUAUAGUUUUAUUUUGUCCAAUUUCACUUUCACUUGGUAUGAAUUGUAAUAUACUGCUUUUGCAUAAUUUCCAAGAUAAUGGUCUGCCCCUUUGGCAGAAAAUACUGUACUUAGUGUUUUACAAAUGUGAUGCAGCCAUUUUGCGGUGUAAAAGAGGUUUCUGAAGUCGUUGUACUUUGAGAUAUGCAGCUAAUGUAAAUUCCAAGCUCCUUUCUAGUGCCGAUGCAUUUGUUCAGCAGAGUGGAGAUGAUGAAUCCACCUAUAAAUUAAAGUGUGUGUGGGUGGUCCUUUCAAAUGUAAUUGCUUUGGAUGUUUUCAGAUUACCGUAUCCUUUCCAUAACGCGAUUCACCAAAGAUGCCAAGUUGUUUGCAAUACAUGUGGGUGUGAAUCACCAAUAAUGUGACCUGUAAAAACUGAAUAUUGAAGUGACCAAUCACGUUAUCACAGAGGGGAUUUUUUUUUUUUUUUUAACUUCAGGACAACAACAAAGCUAGCCCAAUUUGAAUUUUAUAGCCAACUGCUGAAUAAUUCAUACACAUGAAUGGCCUUCUAUUCACUAUUUUCUCUUACAUCUUUGAAUUUCUCUGCAAUUCCUUGCCUUCUUUAUGUUUCAGAUCAAAAGCUUUGACUUGAUGUACUGUACAUUAUCACGGCCUAUAUUUCACCAUGACGCUAUCGUCUGCUUUCCACGUUCCUCUACGGCUCAUUGCAGGAGCAUAAUCAGGGCUAAUGACUCAAUAAAUUCAACAAAAUAAAUCUCCCAGGAAAAGUUUGAAUUACACAAAACACAAACAUGGAUUUUCAGUCCUUUGAAAAAAGAUAAAACAUUAACAGCACCAGCCAGUGGAUUAAUAGGAAUACUGUUGAUGCAUCCACACUUCCUAUUCACUUUAUUACAGUGCAACCUCCAAAAUAGAACACAAUGUGAUCAGGUUCAUGUACAUCUAGUUUGUAUGACGUUUGGUCUUUGUCAUUCUGGAAGAGUUGAUGACCAGGAUGUGGUGGGUCUGAUCGGAUUCUGCUUGCACUUGUCCUAGUUCGGAAGUUGCGUAAGUUCUCAAGUUUUGGUAGGUUGGUGCCGACAAUCCGUUUAGCGGUUUUGAUUUUGUGUUCAAGCCGGAGUUUGCCCUUUUUUGCGGUAUUGCCAAACCAGACCGUGAUGCAGCUACACAGUACUGAUUCAAUGACCGCUGUGUAGAACAAUCCCAGCACCUCCCGUGGCAGGCCAUGCUUCCUCAGAAACCACAGGAAGUCCUGUGCUGCGCAUUUUUGAGGAUGGAAUUGAUGUUUGUCUCACACUUCAGGUACUGUGAGACUGUUAUUCCCAGGAACUUGAAGGUUCGAUGGUUGACACAAGACAGUUGGACAGCGUGAGGGUUAGCCGUGGUGAAAAAGGCCUCUUUCUUCUUCUUUUCCUUUUGGCUUAUCCCGUUAGGGGUCGCCACAGGGUGUCAUCUUUUUCCAUCUAACCCUAUUUCCUGCAUCCUCUUCUCUAAACACCCACUGUCCUCAUGUCCUCCUUCACAACAUCCAUCAACCUUAAUUAAGGUUUUCCUCUCGCUCUUUUGUCUGGCAGGUUCCUCUAAUGAGCUCAUUUCUAAUCCCAUCCAACCUGUUCACUCCAAACGAGAACCUCAGCAUCUUCAUUUCUGCUAGCUCCAGUUCUGCUUCCUGUUGUUUCUUUAGUGCCACCGUCUCUAAUCCGUACAUCACGGCCGGCCGUCCACAUUUAUCUUUACAGUCUUUAGUGCGUUCAGCUCCAGGUUGUGUCGGCUACACCAAAGCUGCAGCCUCUCCACUUCCUGUCGCUACGCAGACUCUCCUUAUACCAGUGGUCUCAAGUGUUAUUUUCCCUGGUCGGACAGUCUGUGUGCUGCUUGUAUUUAGGGAGUUUGUGGUUGAGUUUAGCUUUAUUAAAAUCUGUUAGAAUAAUGAAGGGUGAAUUAGUUGUUUGGCAAGCGUUAGCAGAAGUGUGCUCAUGCUAGGUUGGGGUGGAAUGUAAACACCGACAAGGAUGAAUAGAGUCAAACACACGCAGCGAGUAAAAUGACUUACAGUUCAAGAACAGAGACUCUAAAAGCGGGCUCCAGUGUCUGCUGUGUUGUGUGAUGUCCGUGUACAAUUUUCAUUGAUGUAGAAGCAUAUUCCACCUGAUCCAAGAUCCAUAGACCACAGAAGCUUUCGCAGUCUCUUCUCUGGUGACUAACUCGGGGAAAAGACUCGGCGGAUAUCCGAGAGUGACUGGGAAAACAGUCCUUGGAAAACUCUCUAGUGAUUAUCAAGUCUUCCUUGUGUAGUUGAGUCCACACACGACCAAAAACCACAAAAAUGUAGACUGCUAGGAAACACAAUACUGGGUGUUCGCACAGGUAUAAUAAAACCAUCGUCAAAUUUGCUGAUGAUAUCAGCCUUGAAAGACUGAUCAAGGACAACAAUGAGUCAGACUACAGGAAUGAGGUCUAGUAUUUCGGAUGAUGGUGUUAAAUCCACAAGCAAAACGAAAGGGAUGAUCAUGGACUUCAGAGAAUCCAAAAAAACAAGCGCACUGCCCUCUUUAUUGAUAUAGAGAAGGUAGCGAGGUUGGAAUGCUUCAAGUUCCUCAGGGUCUACAUCUCGGCAGACCUCACCUCAUCAGCCAGCAUCUCCAAUCGGGUGAGGAAAGCACAUCAAAAACUGCAUCCUUGGGGAAACUACGCCAAGCCCAGCUCCCCCAACACUCGAUGAUAAACCUUUAUGGAUCCAACUUCCUGACUUAUUGCUGUACAACUUGGUUCACCAGCUGUACUCCGAAGGACAUGAAGGACACUCACUUUUCUUCCUCCCCACCCCCCGCCCCCUACCCUCUGCAAAACGCCACAGGACAACGUAUAAAACCACAAAGCUUAAAAACAGCUUUUACCAAACUGUGAAAUGCAUCUCCCCCUACACCCCCACAGUAAAAGCUAAUUGCUAAACCCCCAUCCCACUGCACCAAGUUCACUUUUAUUAAGUGUGAUUGAAUGAGC